UCGUGAGUGCUAAAUAGGAUGUUCAAUUUAAGGAAAAAACACAUCGUAAAUUUUGAGUUACGAUCAUCUUUUUCUAAAAUUAAGUCCAAGUUACGAUCAUCCAUAGACGCAGUUACGAUCAUCAUCGUGAUUUUUUCAAUCUCAAUUUUCGUUCUUCUGGUUGUUUUUCUAUCAUUUAGGAAAAACACAUUCAAUGACAAUGCUUAUUAAGAUUUUACUUGAUAUAAAACAAAUCUGUAAAUAAGCUGUUAAAGUGGAGGAAUAGGCCUUCUAAAAUUUCCCUCAAUUUGUGUCUGCCAUAUUGGGAUGAUCAUAAUUACAGUUACGAUCAUCACGUUGACACUGGUGCUUGCUGACAGAACUAUUGCCAUUAUUAAGAAUCCAUCUACCCCAGUUGCAAGCGAAGUAAGAUAAAUCCUAUCUUUUAAAACUAGGAAAUCCAUACAGUAAUAGACUGACAUAAAUAAAAUUUUACCUUUCAAUUUAAGUUGCGAAAAUAAUUAGAUAUUUCUUGAAUAAGUAUUCUUUUUUUUUGGUCCAAGACUGUGUGUUGACAUAUAUACUUUAAAGUUCUUAAGACUUUAAUAAUUAAAUUUAGUAGCUGUUUUAAGGAAAGAGUAUUGCCAAAGUACAAUCUGUAGUUACUAUUUUUGCCUUUUCACAGUUUCAGCAAGCUGAUCUGCGCCACAAAAAUCUUUAACAUUUUUAUUCCAUUGCUUUCAGGGGAAAUCACAAUAAAAUUUCUCCAAAUAUAUUGUUCACUUUAAACCCCUUCAGUCCUUUAAAAAACAUUCAAAUGAUCUUUAUUGUUAGGUUACAUCGACCAUGAUAAUUUUUUGUCAUAAAAUAUAUUCGAUGAAUAUAUAUAUAUAUAGCAACCCACAAUCAAUAAAUAUACGAGUGUACCAGCAAGUUGUCAAAACUAGUAGAUAUUUUAUUAAAUAACUUCUUCAUUUAUUUUUUAUGGAAGACUGUAUGUUGACCUAUAUAUGCCUUUGUUAUUUCUGUGUUGUUGAGUUGCUGUCUGAUUGGCAUAUAUCCUAUAUAUCUUCACUUGUCUGCUUUGUCUGCUUUGUGUGUUUAUAGUCUAUUCAGUGUUAUUAUUUAAUCUAUUUAUUUUGAUUCAAACUCUCUCUCAUUAUAUAAAAUUGUACUGAUGAAAGAUGCAUAUCAUGUUUGCAUCUUUAAAUCAAUAAUUUUUGAAAGUUUACAUGCACCUAAAACAUGUCUCAAAUGAUAUUUUUAAGAGAUAACUCUAACUGUGUAUGGGAUAUGAAACAUUACUUACUUAAGGAGUUAAUGGUGUUUUUAAGAUCAUAUAUACAAAAAAAGUAUUAUUUUUUGCUUUAAGGAUUAAUUCAGUAGUGAAGUAAAGCUAUUCUCCAUUAACAACUUGUAUUAAUCUGAUUUUUAUUAGAUUACUUCAUGCUGAUUUAAUCUGUCCUAGAUUUAAAUAUGUUUUUGGCAGACUAUUCACAUUAUUGGUAGUAUCAUUGUGGUGUUUUGAUUUCUCAAUUUUCAAACUGGAAUCCAAUUUCCUGUCUAAUGGUAACUGUCUAAAUGAUAAUGUUCUACAACUCAACUGAAAACUUAACACUUUCUUUGUCUUGAGAGUGACUAUUAACAGUGGAAUAUAGAUAUACAGCUGAUUCUGUCUGCGUCUUGGUCAUGUGUCACAAACAUUCAGAUUUACAUUAUUUUCAUAGCUCUUAAAAGUUUAUAAGUAUCAGCAUGGGCUUGAUUUAUAUUUUGUUGUGAAAAUGACAAUAUAAAAUAAAAGAGAACAUAUAAUGUUAAAUUGCCAAUGAGACAACUAUACACUGUCCAAAUGACAUGCAUGUAAACAACUAAAGGUCACUAAAUGACCUUCAACAAAUGAGCAAAAACAAACUUAUCCUAACAUUAAAUAAGCAGAAUCCAUACAGAAUAAACAUAGCACUUAAUGUUAUCUUUUGUUGUUUACAAUUAUUUAUCUAUUUAGCCACAGAUUUUGUAGUAAUUUGGUGUCAAUUGAUAAAUCUAUUGAAUGUCUGUAAUUGUAUGUAUGCAUUAAGGGGCAUUAUUCUCUUUCUUUAAAUUGUAUCAUUGAUAUACACUUUAACUUAAUGUGUCUUAUUCAGCAUGAAACUUUAUAUUUGCUUUAAGCAUGCUAUCAUUGACAGUAAAUGUUCUUUAGAAAUGUAUAUAUCUGCCAUUAUCUGGUUAAUGAUUAGAUAAAAGUGCAAAUGAUAACAUCACUUAAGUGGAAACAUUUCUCAGUUAUGCAGUAUUUGAGGCAAACAGUAUUUAUAUUUGUACAUAAAAUGUAACUUAAAUUUUGUGGAGGAUAAGAUGAUAAAAAGAUGUUAUUUCUUGAACAUUUUGCUUUUAAAAAUACAUGACAGAAGAUAUUAUGGAAGGAGGAUGGACAGUUUCAUGGCAAGACUUUUUUAUUUCAUCAAAAAUGGUCAAACAUAUUAUAAUUUGCAGAAGGUUCUCAUUUCAGUGUAUUUGACCUACAUUCAAUGAUUGGUUGACUUGAACAUAAAAAGAUGGGUUCCUUUCUGAAGAAAUAUGUUGAUUCAUAUAAAGAAUACUUCAACAUUAAAGUACAGAAAGCUUGUGUUACUGUUUGGUUACAAUCACUUGCAUUUAUUUACUGUCAGAUUUUGCAAUUUUGCAUUUUUUUUUAUGCUAAGGUAUUAGGUCUAGAGUUCAGGAUCAUGUUAAUCCUCAUGACUUUAAAUAACUUGGGUAAUGUUUGGCUUUUAGGUUAGAGUAAAAUAAACAAGUUUUUUUUUCUUUUACAACUAUCACUAUGUUCACAUUCUUCUUAUAAAAAUGAAUACAAGAAAAUGUUCUUUAAAUUAUUUGUUCCCUGGUAUACAUAUAUACUGCAGCUGUGCUAUUUGAGCAGUCAGAUUGCAUUGACCGUAUAUUCAUAUGUGAUAUACAGUCACUGACCGUAUAUCACCUUGUUUAUGACGUUGACAAUGUGUUUCCGUAGAGUUUUAUUUAUGACGUCAAUAAAACAUACAGGUUCGCGGAAAUUUUACGUCUUCUGCUCAAAAUUAAGAAAUGAUGGUUUUUACCCUAAAUACUUCAUUUAGAACAGUUAUAAGAGUUGCAGUAUAUAAAGAAUAAUCAUACAUUGUCUUGAAAUAUCAAUUUGUUAUUUGUACUCGGCCCGAAACAGGUAGAAAUGCUCGGCACAGCCUCGCUUUCUACCUGUUUCUAAGCCUUGUACAAAUAACAUUGAUAUUUCGAGACAAUGUAUGGUUAUUCUAUAUGUAUAGUUCCUGCUAGUGUUAUUUUUGGUAAUACAAUAAGCAGAUUUAAUGUUAUUUAUCAUGUCAUCAGUUGUCUUUAUUGUAUUGUAUUAGUUCCAUUAUUUCUAUCUUUAAUAUGCACUAUUAUAAUGUUCAUCAAUCCAAAGUCAAAUAAAUUUAUUUUCUUUAUUGUGAUAUUUGAAAUUAAAACCAAGUCAUUAAA
rnacentral:lncRNA from 1 species